UUGCAGUCCGUGCGGACUUGAUUGCCUAGAAUUACCCAAAAUUCUUUACUUCAACUACAGUAAACUUCAGAAUAUAUAUAUUUCAAAAUAUGUUUUACAGCGAUGGUUAAUUUACCUGUAUAAAAUAACAUUCUAAUAAUAAUUAAACAGAAAAAACAAAACUGCCGUAUUACGAUGAGCUGGACCUGGUUGGAGGCUGGACCAGGAUUUUGAAUAUGGCCGGCCUAGGAUACGCGCUAAGCGGUAAGGAAGGGCGGCACGGACCCCACUCCAUUUUAUUGACGCUCUUGUAUGAUUUCGGCAAGUGUCUGUUAAUAACCACGAGAAUUACCCAACCACGUUAUGCAAUGCACUUUAUAACUGAGUAGCGAGACAUUUUUCAUAGUUUUAGUGAUUAAAAGUUAAGUGAAGCAACAUGAGGCUAGCAACUGUAUUUGGAGAGUUUAGGCGCUAAACUACUUAACUGCUGGCAAGAGAGAUCUGUGCAUUGGCUUUGGAGUCCCCAUUGCCAGACAGUGUCGCUCUUACCAGAUCCUCCCUCAGCAUCACUCCAUUUUGUGCCAUCUCAGGUAUGUAGGUUGGGGAGGAUGGAAGAAGAGAGCAGGAGGAGUAAGAGGAAGAAAGGAAGGAAGGGAGUGAGGGAGGAAGGGAGGGAGGAGGUGGUAUGUCAUUCUUCUCCAUCGAUCUCUCUGCACAGGAUGUCUGUUGGAAGACCAUUACAACGACCACAGG